GACGAACCGAGCGAACGUUGUUCGGAAUCACUGGGCUUAAAGGGUGCGUAGGCGGCGCGACAAGUUGGGUGUGAAAUCCCUCGGCUCAACCGAGGAACUGCGCCCAAAACUGUCGUGCUCGAGGGAGACAGAGGUGAGCGGAACUUAGGGUGGAGCGGUGAAAUGCGUUGAUAUCCUAAGGAACACCGGUGGCGAAGGCGGCAUCCUGGACCGGCAUUGACGCUGAGGCGCGAAAGCCAGGGGAGCAAACGGG
rnacentral:rRNA from 1 species